GCUCUGCACCUUGAGUUGAGCUUUCCAUUUGCUUCGCCGUCGAAAGAAGCAGCAGAUCAAUGCCAAACUGAUCAUGAGGGAAGCCCCAACUACAACACCUGAAAACAAAGAAACAGAUGACAUGAGACAGCAUUUGACAGGAAGAUUAAAGUACCUCCAACCAGAACAAUUAUUCUGGUGGUUCCUCCACAUUGGCCAGAGAGAUACUUUGCAGGAUUGCACAUGAAUGCGUCUGCUCGCAAGAUAAAAAUCAGAAAACAAGGUCAGCUCUCAGCAGGAUGAGGAUUUUCGGGAUCACAUACAUAAAACAACACAGACAUUUUGACUCGAUAAACUCUUCGGAGCCGCCACGAUCUGCACGACCGAAAUCGAUUUCCCAUGAAGCCUAAGUUCGGGUUAAGCACGAAAAGUAAGAGCUAGCUCGACACUGAAGACAUAGAACUAAAAAGGAGCAGUCAAACUAUCAUUAUCUACUAGAAUGUCUUUGAGUCCAGACAAAGUGAAAGAGCUAACAAUGUCGAGGUUAAGUUCAAAGUUCUCGAUCACUUGUGCCCUCCAAAGUCAAGAGAUUCUAGACGUUGGAUGGACCUCUUUGCACUUUGCGCCCCUGAAGUCCAGAGGCUCAGACAUCACCAAGACCCCACACAAAAAUCUGCCGUUCUUCCGUUGACUUUUGUGUAAUCCUAGAGAUCAAAAUCACUUGGGGAGCAUAUUCAGCAUCGUUCAAAGGGAUCCGCAGAUUUCAGUGGCGAUCUUUGUUAGGUGAAACAACCCAUUCUUGAGCGCGACGGGCUGCUUGUUCUUCUAUCCCCCCGUGCCAGACAAAAGAGAGGACAACAAUGGCGGAUCGUUCUUUAACGAAUCAGCAAGAAAAACGGGACACCGGCCCAAAUAUUAUAUUGUAUCCACUUUGACCUGACUUUACGACGAAACUUUGAUUAAGACGAUGUUAAUUGUCUUUGAAAAGGGUCCCCCAUGUAAUGUAUUAUUGUCCGCCCGCUAGUGGGGUCACUGUGCGCUCUUACUUUUGGUGCGUUCUAGUGGGCAAACGUGCCCGUUUAACCGUACCACCCACCAUGGACAACGAAGUUCCAUGCUGUGAUCAUAAAGGAAAUGAUCUUGUCUAUGGACAGAAAAUGGGGUCUCGUCCGGCCAUGAGCAUUAAUGGCAUCCACUUGAAUAGGAUGGGAUAGGAUAGCAUCCCCUCGGCUCGGAUUGACUUUCCCGGUCGAGUUCGAAGGAUUCGUGCCGUGUGCUUUCUUCAUAAAUGGUGAUAUGGAGGAGUUACUAGCAUGAAUUUUGUGUAUCUACUGAAUUAAAUGCGAGUAUUUAUAGAGGUUGGUCUCACCAAAACUCGGUUUUUAGUGAAUGAUUUCUUCGGCUAGCAAAAGAUUGGAAUUGGAGUGAAGUCAUAACGUAAGGCGACGAAAUAAAGAAAAACUUUAAGACCCUUCCUCCAGCUACGAUUCACGACUGGUUUGUUGAUUGUAAAUAUUUCGCGAGCUUUGAUUCCUUUUAAAGCCUUUUCAGGGAUUGUUGGUGGAAAAUUUAUGGUAGGAGAGAGGUUCUCAUGAA